CGGAGGGAGCGCACUCUCCGACGCGGAUUGCGACUGCCCGCUUUGAAAAGGAAACCCCCAGGGCGCGAGCGCGAGGGAAAGCUGGCCCAGACGCGUGCGCGCUCCCGCGAAAGAAAAGCACCAGAAGUAAAGAAACUUUUACAGCUUUUGUUGAUUUGGCUGUUAACGCUGAUCCCCCGAAUCAAAAAAAGGAAAAUGAGCUGUAAAAUUCAAAGAAAGCUUAGGUUUUGUGGCUUUUAUAAAAAUGAGUCUUGCUUCUUGGAAAAGAGUUAAAGUACCAAAAACUACAAAGGAAAUCUAUGAUGAAAAAAUUGCCCAAUAUCUCAAGGAUAAUAUAUUUUUU
rnacentral:lncRNA from 1 species